rnacentral:misc_RNA from 1 species
UUAAGUUCAGCGGGUAUCCCUACCUGAUCCGAGGUCAACUUUUAAAAGGCAUGAUGAUUGACCGGGUCUGGAACUCUGACCAAUACGUGCUCCGAAGAAGCUCAGUGUACUGGAGUCUUCACAGACGCCGUCAUUAUCUUUGGGGCGGGCAAUCGAUCUCCGACCACCGUCGUCCAACAACAAGCCGGGCUUGAGGGGUG